AACGAACGCUGGCGGCAUGCCUAACACAUGCAAGUCGAACGAGACCUUCGGGUCUAGUGGCGCACGGGUGCGUAACGCGUGGGAACCUUCCCUUAGGUUCGGAAUAACUCCCCGAAAGGGGUGCUAAUACCGGAUAAUGUCUUCGGACCAAAGAUUUAUCGACUUUGGAUGGGCCCGCGUUGGAUUAGCUAGUUGGUAGGGUAAAAGCCUACCAAGGCGACGAUCCAUAGCUGGUCUGAGAGGAUGAUCAGCCACACUGGGACUGAGACACGGCCCAGACUCUUACGGGAGGCAGCAGUGGGGAAUAUUGGCAAAUGGGGGAAAGCAUGAUCCAGCAAUGCCGCGUGAGUGAUGAAGGUCUGAGGGUUGUAAAGCUCUUUUACCCGGGAUGAUAAUGACAGUACCGGGAGAAUAAGCUCCGGCUAACUCCGUG
rnacentral:rRNA from 1 species